rnacentral:rRNA from 1 species
AUGAACGCUGGCGGCGUGCCUAAUACAUGCAAGUCGAGCGAACAGACGAGGAGCUUGCUCCUCUGACGUUAGCGGCGGACGGGUGAGUAACACGUGGAUAACCUACCUAUAAGACUGGGAUAACUUCGGGAAACCGGAGCUAAUACCGGAUAAUAUAUUGAACCGCAUGGUUCAAUAGUGAAAGACGGUUUUGCUGUCACUUAUAGAUGGAUCCGCGCCGCAUUAGCUAGUUGGUAAGGUAACGGCUUACCAAGGCGACGAUGCGUAGCCGACCUGAGAGGGUGAUCGGCCACACUGGAACUGAGACACGGUCCAGACUCCUACGGGAGGCAGCAGUAGGGAAUCUUCCGCAAUGGGCGAAAGCUUGGCGGAGCAACGCCGCGUGAGUGAUGAAGGUCUUCGGAUCGUAAAACUCUGUUAUUAGGGAAGAACAAAUGUGUAAGUAACUAUGCACGUCUUGACGGUACCUAAUCAGAAAGCCACGGCUAACUACGUG